AACUUUGCACAAUGGCAGUAUCGUAGCCAAUGAGGUUUAUCCAAGGCGGAAUUACUGCUGACAGAAUAGAUGUUUGCUUAAGAGACUUUAUGCAGAAUCAUGAGAAUCUAAGCACCUAAAUUUAAGGUG
ensembl:snRNA U4 U4 spliceosomal RNA